rnacentral:rRNA from 1 species
AUUGAACGCUGGCGGCAGGCUUAACACAUGCAAGUCGAGCGCGCGGCGGACGGGUGAGUAAUUUCUGGGACCCUGCCUGAUGGCGGGGGAUAACUACUGGACACGGUCGCUAAUACCGCAUACCAUCAGAUGUGCCCAGAUUGGAGUAGCUAGUAGGUGGGGUAAUGGCUCACCUACGCGACGAUCCCUAGCUGGUCUGAGAGGAUGACCAGCCACACUGGAACUGAGACACGGUCCAGACUCCUACGGGAGGCAGCAGUGGGGAAUAUUGCACAAUGGGCGCAAGCCUGAUGCAGCCAUGCCGCGUGUGUGAAGAAGGCCUUCGGGUUGUAAAGCACUUUCAGCGAGGAGGCGUUACUCGAAGAAGAAGCACCGGCUAACUCCGUGCCAGCAGCCGCGGUAAUAC